rnacentral:rRNA from 1 species
CACUUUAGUACCAAGCAAUUCUAUAUUUCUAUAGAACCUUUUAUGUUAAAACUAGUAACAAGAAGCACCCCUUCUCUUAAAUGCAAGUAUAAAUCAGCUAGGACCCACCACUGAUAAUUAACACCCAUGAACUUACAGUAGAAACACCACAAGAAAACCCUACUUCACCCCAUGUUAAUCUAACACAAGAGCAUUACAAGAAAGAUUAAAAGAAAAAGAAGGGACUCGGCAAACAUUAACCCCGCCUGUUUACCAAAAACAUCGCCUCUUGAUAAACUUAUAAGGGGCCAGCCUGCCCAGUGACUCUGUUCAACGGCCGCGGUAUCCUAACCGUGCGAAGGUAGCGUAAUCACUUGUUCUUUAAAUGAGGACUAGUAUGAAUGGCACCACGAAGGUUAUACUGUCUCCUUUCUCUAAUCAGUGAAACUAAUCUCCCCGUGAAGAAGCGGGGAUGAAAAUAUAAGACGGGAAGACCCUAUGGNGCUUUAAACAAAUAUACAACUGCCUAUUCCACUAAAAAUUUCAGGAAAAAAACACCUAUCCAGGCACUUUGAUAUAGAGUUUUAGGUUGGGGUGACCACGGGGUAAAAAACAACCUCCGUAAUGAAAGGGAAUUUUCCCUAAACUAAGGACUACAACCCUAAGUAUCAAUAAAUUGGCACCAAUUUNCCCAAUACAUUUGACCAAUGNACCAAGUUACCCUAGGGNUAACAGCGCAAUCCACUUNAAGNGCCCCUAUUGNCAAGUGGGUUUACGNCCUCGAUGUUGGAUCAGGGUAUCCUAGUGGUGCAGCCGUUACUAACGGUUCGUUUGUUCAACGNUU